AUGGAGUAUCUGUACAUCACUGGGUUUGGGUGUCUUAUCACUGAUAAGAUCACGAUGCCGAGAUUUCCCCGAGCGCGCGUGGUGUGUUUAUUUAUCCUCUAUGCUGGCUUGGUUCAACGCUCAUCCAAAAGGUUAUGUUCCACAAACCUUCAAGUGUUUCCCAACAUGGCGAGUGUUUUACCAGGGAACUCGGCAGGGGUAACCGCGCGUCAUCUGUACGUGGAGCUUCGAGAGAAGAGAGUUAGUCUAAUGCACAACGAUGGUCUCUUGAAAUCCGCGUUGACACGUUUUGCUUUGGGAGAGAGAAGAUUGGCACUUUCAGACAAAGAAAUAAGUGAUAAACUGCAGUCAUUUGGCAGUAAUAUCACUCGCAGAUGGAAGGAUGCAAGACGAGUAGAGGAGUGUUUUUUAAGAAGAAACCAAAAUUUUCUCGAUUCGGUUAUUUUUCCAUUUUCCAAAUAUAAUGAAACCCAGUCUAGUCAAAAAUCUGGUCAAAUGGGACGUCCGAAAAAAUCAUUCUCGGAUUCUUCGGAUAAAACGAAGAAAAGGAGGGUGUCUGAUUUGGUGUCUAACCACGAAGCGGAGCAACUAGCCUUCGCAUCUCAAGUUUGUUUUCGAGAGGAUGGCAUGAGAUCGAAGGCGAGUUUGAUAAAAAAAGUUUCAGAAUCCUCCAACACUGAGUUACAAUCAAUGCAGCAAAUGCUAUCAAAAGAGGAUUCUCCCGCGCCUCUUACGCCCACAGAGGCACUUGGUUUUUUAGUGCAGAACAAAUUAACAAAGAGGCAGUAUAUUCGCACAAGGCUGCUGAGCAAAAAGCAUAAUGCGGACAUUUACCCACCCUACAGUGAGCUUUCACGCAUAAAAGCCGAGUGCUUGCCUGAAUCAAUUAGGGUAACGGAAAUUUCAGCUGAGGUUGAGUUACAGAGUUUACUAGAUAUUACAGCACGGAGGUUACUGGAAGCAGAACAUGUUUCUAUUCUUCCAAAUUUUUAUGACGGUUCGGAGGUCCAUUCUCUGCAACUAAUUUGGAAGUAUGGUUUCGAUGGUUCCAGCAAUCAGGCUGUGUACAAUCAGAGGUUUAGAGAGGAGUUUGGUCAAUGCUCGGACGCUAAUCUGUUUGUCGUCUCUACCAUGCCUUUGGCCUUACAGGCAAUUACAGGAAACCCCUCUUUCCUUUGGAGGAACCCUGCACCAGGAUCCCCUCAAUACUGCCGCCCCUUGAAAUUUGUGUUUCAGAAAGAGUCUGCAGACCUAACCGUAGAAUUUCAUCAGUCGCUGAAACAUGAAAUUGAGAGAGUCCAACCCACUGAAGUUACGAUAAAAGGCAUUAAUUUUAGAGUGAGCCACGAUUUAAAAUUGACAAUGAUCGACACUAAAGUUAGCAAUGCCAUGGCAAAUGUCAAGUCAGCUCAAACUUGUUUCUUAUGUGGGGCGAAUCCAACGGAUAUGAAUAACCUAGAUAAAGUCAUCAAAAGGCCCGUGCGCAAAGAAUUAUUAGCACUUGGUAUGUCCUCGCUUCAUGCCUGGAUUAAAAUGUACGAAAACUUGUUGCACGUGAGUUAUCGGCUGUCAAAUAAAAAAUGGCGUUCCACCACUCCAGAAGAUCACGCAAGUGUAGCAAAAGAAAAAUCUCGUAUUCAAGAAGAAUUCAAGGCUUACAACGGACUCCAAAUUGACAUGCCUAGGCAAGGAGGUGGAAAUUCCAAUUGCGGAAAUACUGCUCGCCGAUUUUUUAAGGACGCCAAUGGAACUGCUAAAAUUACCGGACUUGACGAAGGAUUGAUUCGCCGGUUCCAUGUUAUUCUCACGACUAUUGCCAGUGGUUUUGCCAUUGAUGUGGAAGCAUUUCGUGUGUACUGUUUUGAGACAGCUCAAUUGUACGUUAAGUUGUACGGUUGGUACUACAUGUCUGCCACCACGCAUAAAGUGCUUAUUCAUGGAGCAGAUAUAAUUGCUACAUUCCCUUUGCCGAUUGGAGUUUUCACCGAAGAGGCCUCUGAAGCAGGGAAUCAAAUUCAUCGACUCUUCAGGCGACACUUUGCGCGGAAAACUAGUCGGAAGGAUACAAAUUCCGACAUUUUUACUAGGCUGCUAAUUUCCUCCGACCCAGUGAUUAUUAAGUCACAGAUGAAGAACCGGAGGAAGAAGAAGAAAUUGCCCCUGGAGGCAGUUGCCUUGCUGAAAGAAGCACCGGAGGACCUGGUAAUUGAAAAGGAGAAAGAUAACACGGCAUCGACUUCACAAGAAGACAAGGACGAAGAGGAUGAAGAAGAAGAUGAAGAGAGUGAAGAAAACCGAAGACGAGGAGAAUGAGGAAGACGAAGACGAGGAGAAUGAAGAAGACGAAGAUGAAGAGGAUACAGAGGACGAGACAGAUGGAGAGAAAGAAGACGAGGAGUUUGAAGACACCGAUAGUGAAGGAGAGUGAUCUCAAUUUGAUGAUCAUAUUAUAGAAUUUUUUUACUGUGAUGUUAUUUUCAUUAUUUUGUUUAGGAUUACUAUUUCAAUGUUUUUUGUGGCCUUACUGUAUUUUCAGUAUUUUAUUUUGGUAUAUCCAUAG
rnacentral:lncRNA from 1 species